GGGUCUGCGUUUCAUUAGCUAGUUGGUAGGGUAAUGGCCUACCAAGGCAACGAUGAGUAGCUGGUCUGAGAGGAUGAUCAGCCACACUGGAACUGAAACACGGUCCAGACUCCUACGGGAGGCAGCAGUGGGGAAUAUUGCGCAAUGGGCGAAAGCCUGACGCAGCAACGCCGUGUGAGGGAUGAAGGCUUUCGGGUCGUAAACCUCUGUCGGAAGGGAAGAACGGGUGAGGGUCUAAUAGGCCUUCAUUUUGACGGUACCUUUAGAGGAAGCACCGGCUAACUCCGUGCCAGCAGCCGCGGUAAUACGGAGGGUGCAAGCGUUAUUCGGAAUUACUGGGCGUAAAGCGCACGUAGGCCGCUUUGUAAGUCAGGGGUGAAAUCCCACGGCUCAACCGUGGAACUGCCCUUGAAACUGCAGAGCUUGAAUCCUGGAGAGGGUGGCGGAAUUCCUGGUGUAGGAGUGAAAUCCGUAGAUAUCAGGAGGAACACCGGUGGCGA
rnacentral:rRNA from 1 species